UACGUAGGGUGCAGGCGUUAAUCGGAAUUACUGGGCGUAAAGCGUGCGCAGGCGGUUUGCUAAGAGAGAUGUGAAAUCCCCGGGCUUAACCUGGGAACUGCGUUUCUAACUGGCAGGCUAGAGUGUGGCAGAGGGGGGUGGAAUUCCACGUGUAGCAGUGAAAUGCGUAGAGAUGUGGAGGAACACCGAUGGCGAAGGCAGCCCCCUGGGCUAACACUGACGCUCAGGCACGAAAGCGUGGGGAGCAAACAGG
rnacentral:rRNA from 1 species